rnacentral:lncRNA from 1 species
CGAGAGAGCUGAACUGGAGACAGGCCCUUGCCAGACCCCUGCCUGCCCGCCUUCGUUCCUGCGCAGUCACGGCAGCCAAGGUGGAAACGGCCCCCAUGCGACGACGAUGACGGGUGACGGAUGAGUAGAGUGUGGUCCCUGCACAGACGAGACGCAGGGACCACGGUCAUGUACUUGACCUGAGUUCCCUUGUAUGAAACGUCCAGAACAGGCACAUCCAGAGACGGAGACCAGAGCGCGCACGCACUGAAACUGGAAUGACAGAGGCAUGAGCAUGGCCCCUGUGCAAGGAUGACGUGCAAACGUGUGAGUCGGCGUUUCCAGAAGAGUGAUGUUCAGAAGAAUUGUGUGAGUGUGCGGACCAGCGGGGAGAUGGAGGCCACUUGAUGAAGAGCCUGGAGCCCACCCCUUAAAGGAACAAGGCCCGUUUCUCCUAAGGCUGGACAGCUGGCUCCUCCGGCUCCAGCCCGGGUUAUUGACAUGCAAAUGCGUGCCCGGGAGCGCAGCUGCCGGCUGGCGCCGAGGCCCUCGCCCCAGGUGCAGCCCCACCGAGCCAGCAGGGCGAACGGAACCGUGGACCCUGCACAGGAGGAAAGGCAGGUGAGAGGUGUCAUCUGGUGCUGCCAGCUCUGCAUCACCGCUCUCCUGGCUUCCAGCCCCAGAACAAGGUGUGCCUGCAGGUCGCAGGGGCCAGUGGGUGGCCGCCAGCUCUCUCUCAGGAGGCUUCUUCGUCAAGUCCUCCCAUCCCUCAGGGUUUCAGCAGACUGUCCCCCGCAGAGGGCAGGCUUUCCAAACGCAGGGAACAGAAAGAGAGGAGGGAGGUGUGUCCGGCACCUCGUGAGGCGAGAUGCGGGGGAAACCCACCUGGAGUCCAGUGGGCGCCCCUUCCCACUCUGAGAAGACAGCCAGCUCUGGCUGAGAGUCAGCACGGGGUAGGGGGUCCGACACUGACGAUGAAACAGAGUGUUCUGUCUAAAACCGUUCAGUCGUGGAGGGAAACACAAAAUCCACGAACUAUGCGCUCAGAAACUGUUCACAAGUGGGAUGUCAGUGUUGCUGGCCCCCGUGGCCCCCCAGCGACCACACCCCUUCCCUUAGCCCCGCAGCGUCGUCCUGCUGGCCUGCUCGCUGUGGCCGUGGUGUUGGCAGUGCCGUGGUUCGGCGCCCGUCGGCGCGCAGUGGAGGCCCCAUCUGUCUCUUGGCUCCCGAUGGGUGUUUGGGUCUUAAGGAGCAGCGUGGCUGUGACCUGAUGCGCACGCCUCCUGGGAGCUCUGUCCACGUUUCUGUCGUGGACGCCCCAGGGGUGGCACUGCCCGGUCCUGGGCGGGUACAGCGUGGCUUUUAGUAGAUGCCACCAAUCUAUGCUUUGUACCAGCAUUCCCACUGCUCUGUGGCUUUGUCCUCACUGGGCAUCAAAAGUGUUACUUUGCCUGCCGGAGUGUUACUUCAGGGUUCCUUU